rnacentral:rRNA from 1 species
UACAGAGGGGGCAAGCGUUAUUCGGAAUUAUUGGGCGUAAAGAGCGCGUAGGCGGCCUUUCAAGUGACGGGUGAAAGCCCUCGGCUUAACCGAGGAACUGCCUGUCAGACUGGAAGGCUUGAGACCGGGAGAGGUGAGUGGAAUUCCCAGUGUAGCGGUGAAAUGCGUAGAUAUUGGGAGGAACACCAGUGGCGAAGGCGGCUCACUGGACCGGUACUGACGCUGAGGCGCGAAAGCGUGGGGAGCAAACAGG